GGGAUUUUGGCUCAGUGGUAGAGCGCUUGCCUAGGAAGCGCAAGGUCCUGGGUUCGAUCCCCAGCCUCCCC
rnacentral:tRNA from 1 species